CUGUAACUUCAUCCCAAUGGGAUUUGCAAUAGGGCUCAUCCAUGCAGCAAUAAAGCCAAACUGUAAUCAUCUUUGCUGUGUAUUGUUCUGGGGUCAGCAUCCUUGGGGAUACAGUGGUACAGCAGUGGAUGGAAAGAAGCUGGAGAGGGAUACAAAAGUGAACCCAGCCAAGAUGAAAGGAGCUGACACAUCUGUCUAGCGCCAGCAUUGUAUCUAAUGUUGUCUAAAGGAGCUCUCCUGCCUCAAGGAACUAGCAGCCCAUAGGCGUGAUCUGAUAAGAUGCAGAACACCAUAUGAGAGAUGCUUCCACUAACUUUGGUGGGGAAAACGGCUGCACGUUUGGCUGCAUGUUUGCAGGGAAUGGAAGUGACACAACCACACAGCAGUGCCCACAGUCUAAAACCUAUUAUGUGAUGAAUUACCUGGAAUCAGCAGUAAAGGAAGUACCCAAGGAAGUAACAUGCAAAAGACUAUGCUGAGAAAACACAGAUCCCCGACUUGAAAAGAACUCUAAAAUGAGGAAGCUCAGAAUUACAGUUCCUGAAGCAAAUGAAAUUGUAUUCUCUUGUAUCUAUUCUUAACAAUAGAACCUUUCAAUAUGUGAUGAUAUGAUACAGAUAAGAUUGUCAAACUCUCCAUCAUUUACUACGGAACACUGUUCAUAUUUGAGCUUAGCUUUCAUAACAAACAGAGAAUGAACUUCUUUUUCCUCCUCUCUGGAUGAAUAAAUUAGAGUAACAAGGAAGAAUUACCCUUCCCAUUUUAUAGCAUAAGAUAUUAAAAUAAAUUUUAACUUGACCUGGCUGAGAUGAACGCACAUGAGAAGACCAUCAAGAUCAGCACACUUGUCUUCUCUGAUGUAGGAAGUAAAUGAAUGCCUUUUAACUCCUUUCUCCCUCGAGCUGAAGGAGACCUUUCCACCUCCAUGGAGCAACGUCUGCUGUGGCAUUACCAGAGUAGGCAUAAAGCUCCCUGUGUUCUUGACUGUAGGUUAUCACCUCCCUUGCUGCUUCCCACUACUUUCCUCAGGCUAAGAAACUCUCUCUCUGGCCUCUACUUGUGUCAGGUUGUACCUUAUCUACUGGGCAGAGGAGACUGGCAGCUGUAGGCAACUACACCAGGAGGAUGGGACAAGCUGAGUGAAUUGUUCAUGCAGGUUGUAGGGCAAAGAAAGGGGUGCAGCAGGCAGGAAACAAGACUGGCUUUCUUAGCAUGUCAGAAUGCCGGGUGUGCAUGGUAUAUGGCACUCUGUUGUAUAAAGCAUCUGUCAGGUAGUAAGGAGAACUGUGUAACAGCCUGGAGAGAUUAGGCUGCCCCUCUCCAGAAAGUUUCUCUUUCUCCUUGCCACCAGAAUUGCUUGGGAAGGAGCUAAUCCCCCAGAUUUACACAGAAAAUUUACCAUUAUGCUUGGAGUAACUUCUAAACCUCCAGAAAAACACAGUCCGGAAAUACAGCUCUGUAUCCUGUAGAGCUGAGCUAAAAUAGGGCCUUCUGCUGUAAUGCAGUUUCCAUGCACGGGACAGAAGAUUUGGAUUCCUGCCUGCAGCCCUGGACUCUUAAUAAAAUUCCAUCUGUGUUUCCUGCCCUCUGGGGUGAAUUCCUUUGGCUAACAGUGGAGUCUUGGAAAAGAAAUAAUAAUAUGAUAAUAGGGCACUAUUGAGAAGUUUGGGCAUGGAGUGGCUCUGACAACGUAGACCCCUUGUAAUGCACAUACACAAAACACAGCUCUGAUGCUGCUGGAUGACAAUCUAUCCAAAUCUUAACGAUGAAUUUCCAUUCUCCACUAUUGAUUGUUUUAUGGGCCAAAUGGAGCAAUUUUUAGCAUUUAGGAGUGUUGUAGUCCCAAACUGCAAUUCAUAUAGGUUUGAUCCUGGAUUGGAUCAAAAUCACUAUAGGUCUAUCUCUCACUUCUAGCAGAUUUCUAAUUAAAGGAAAUGAAAAAAAUUUUGGCCAUGGUGAGACUGAAGUACAGACCCAUUAUCUGUCAAAGCCCUGUGCUCUGCAUUUUGGAGUGGGGAGCUCUUCUGCUUUAAUCAGAUGCAAUGAAUUGUGUGUUAAAGAUCUCACUGCAAAAGAACAACCUCUGCAUAUGUUACGUCUGCCUGACAGACUGCAGGAUAUGGACUUUUCUCUUUCCUUUCAGGGGGUAUCUUGUGGCAAAUCUAAAUGAAGCCAUGGCAAGGAAAGUGGGUUAUUGGAACUUUAAAGGCAAGUGGAUGUUUACAGUUCCUGUCCAUAUAAUUCAGGUAGGUCUUUGCUGUUCUAACUCCCCAAGUACAGCUCUGGGUAAGUGAAAAGGUCCUGUCAGCUUACUCCAUCACUUAUCACUUCUCCAAUACAAGUACUUCCUACGUCCUUUAAUUGUCUGUGUGGUUCAUGGAGUUUGCUGCUGUGAUCCUGAUUAGUGCAUGGCUUGGUCACCAUGUGCCUGUGAGUGAAGCAUGGCUAUGGUUAGAAAUUUUUAAUGUCCUUUCCUGAAAGGCUAAAGGCUAGGACAGAUUUGGCCUCUUGGAUGCUCUUCAUCCCUGGUAACUUCACCCCACAGCUGACAAUGAAGUGCCAAGUAAGAGCAUAGGAAGGUCUUUAGCUUUUUUUGCUCUCAUCCAUUUCCUUUCUGGGGCCAGAGUACUCCAUGUACCUUCCCAUAUGCAGUUUGGUUCAGCUCAACUCAGUUGCUUUACUGGAAAGAAGAGAGUCUGAUCAGCUGAGGGGACAGGACAGGAAGAGGAUGAACCUAUCCCUGCCCAUCCACCUUCCCAGUGCUGAAGCAGCCGCAUCAUCAUCCUCACCCUGGAAUGAAUGAGGAGCAUUGUGGGCAGGUGCAAAGCAGGGCCAGGUGGUCCAAAGAAAGCUCAGAAAAUUGUGACUCACACAGUAAUACUGUCAUGUCAUCAUAUUGGUAUCACUGGGCAGCUCCCAUAUUCAGCACUGCAGUGUUGGGAAUGGCAAUGGCACUGAAGAAGCUAGGAGGGGAGUAAAACAGCACUGAAGAUGGACUCUCCUUCUCCAAUCAUGUGUGUAGUUAGUGGGUAAUGUUUUUCUCCAUCCCAGUCCCAUCACAUCCCGCAGCAUGGAACAGCAUAGACACCCCCACGUGUCACUGUAAGGUGUAAGCCUAGAUGCUGACAGCAGCUUGUCAUGGCACUGCAGGACUUGCAAUAUGGAAUGGAGCCAUGCUGAGAAGCAGGGUGAAUUAGCCCACACUGAGCUCCUGGUUUACCCUGAUUCUCAUUCAAAACUUCCUUUGCUAAGCCUGUGCUACAGCGGAAGGGACUGCUGUGUAUACCCAACAGCACAUGUUGAAUGGUCCCUGGAGAAUAAAAAAGGGGCUUCCUGGGUCAUCCUCUCUAAUAUUUGGGUUGGCUUGUAAAGUAUCACAUUUUCCCAUGGCAGACUAUAACUACACUGAGGAUAAUAGCUGGUAGGUUGACUUCUCUCUGUGAUGACAUUAUUUUUUUUGACAGACAAGCAGAUCAGAUUUCAUUUUACUGAAGAGUUACAGUCUUCAGCACUAAACUGUGCUGAGAUUUAACUGUUAUGUUUGCAUUUUUGAUGAUUCUGAAGCUCAACGAUAAUGAACAUUGACCUGGGGGUUGUACAGACCAUUCUUUGUGCAUACUAAAAUUCUGCCUAUCCUUGCUCCCAUGUAGAUAUUCCAGUUUGUAUAUGCCACACAAUUUACAGAAAACACACAUUUGCUAAGGAUGGUGAAAACAGGGAAAUUAUUGAGGCCAUUUCUUAUUAUGUUUGCUAUUGUAAAGUCAGGUGUCUCCAGUGCUGUGAGCACAGCUGAGCAGGCAUAGAAAGAAAAAUGGAAAUCACAGGAAAUAAAUACAGAGCACCUGUGCAUAUCUCUUUGACUAGCAUGAUGGCAACAGGUGCUAAUGUCACGUGUGCUCAGUAUUGUGCAGGAUGAGCAACCGAGCAAUCAUUAAAGACACGGAAUGAAUUAGAGCAUUCCUGGACUGGAACUUCCUGAAGCCUUUGCUGCAAGAGUAAGUGGCAUUGUGGCUCUUGAAAAUCAUGUGUUUAAAACCUCUUAUUUCAGUCUGUGGCAUACGGACAGUCUUAGGUCAAAAUAAACUAGGCUCUUCUUUUCUAUUAUUAAUAAUUCAGGAUUAACUGAAAUCCAAGGUAAAUUGUCAUAAGUGAUCCUUAUACUGAAAAAUGGAUACUCCUCCCAGAAGAUCCAUGACUGUGCCUAAAUCAUUUAUAAAAGAAGUUUAUUUGUAGUGUUGCACUGCACUGUUUUGUGUCAUUAAGACAUAGAUAACUGAAAGUGAGGCCAAAUGAUACCAGAGUCACAAAGCUACUGAGGAGACUGAAAAUGCAAGUUGUCCAACAGUGGGAUUUUCAGGAAUGUCUAUUCAAAUGAGGAUACCAAAAAAUCUUUAUAAAAUUGGCUUUUUUCCUUUUCAGCAUGAAAGUUGGCUAACAAAAGGCAAGGCUACCACUAUAUGUGGAAGAUAUGAAUAGAGAGAAAACCCAGUCUAUCUCCCAAUGAAAGCAAGUCACUCACUUCAGAGCUGUUUUUACUGAAGCUUUAAAUAUCCCUAGUAACGGGACUUUCACAGUACUUCUCUCAGAGACGCCUCUUCAGUUUAGCAUGCUUACCAUUGGGACAGCUCUUAUAGGCAAACUAUACUCUUCUUCUUGGUCCCAUUUAGCUUUUUCUGGCCAGGGGAUCAACCUGAUUACAGUCCCAGGAGCAGGUUGAAACUAAGUGGUUUUUCAAACCAAAACUGCAUCUGAGCUGUUGCUAUUGAACCUAAAUUAGUAGCUCGGCUGAAGAUGCUUUUUCUUUCAACUUGUAAGGACCUUGAGCUGCUGGGGUAACCUUGCAGCAGAACUGAACAGGCUUAAAAAGCACCGGUUUAUGUCUCUCACUCCACCCACCCUAUGUUGUAACAACCACUAAUACAUCUUAUUACUUUGAAAUUAUGUGGACCUUUUAAAUCAAAGACAUGGCUUUGAAUUAAAGGAGUUGUCUUAAUAAUUACUUUAUACAAAACAUUCCCUCCUUCACAGUGAAGUAACGUGCAGCCUACACCAAACAGUGGGCUACAUAUCACUCCAAAUUAUUUCCUUCAUGAGGCAUAUAGCUUUUGAAAAUAUCACAAUUCUCCACCUCCUUAGCUGUCAUUCAAUCAGUUCUCACAGAUGAAGCUUUUAAAAUCUGUGGUCAUUGUUCACCCCCUCCUUCCAGCCCCCUUCACUAGUUAGUCCCCCAUUCAUGUUAUUCUUUGGAACUGCUCUUGCUUUUAGUUGUGUAGAUUCAAAAGCCAAGGUCAAAGGGGCCUUUCAGGGCAUGUCUACACUGCAUGAUGCAGUGUUAUCCCGAAACUCUGAAGGAGUGCUGAAUGGCAGUGCAGUGGAGAGACAAAAGUGUCAUUUGGAUGAAAGCAUCCCAUCUUGACUUGGUGACUUAAAGAAAUGGAGAUUCACCUGCUCUUCAUCCCUUGAAUUUUGCUUCAGAUUUUCAUAAAUUCCCUGGAUGGAGUUUGUGCCUUUAAUUUCUUCCAUUCUUUUUGGCCUUUUCGUUGCUAUGGACUUGUCCUUUUUUUGUUCCAUGUUACAAGAUAAUUUGCCUUGCAGGUUGAAGUGAAAACAGCCAAAAUGGCAGGGCAAGGGAUGCUGGGAUGUGAUUUUCAGAACCAUAUAAUUUGCUGAAAAAUUUAAAGUUCAACUUUAUAUACUUAAAGGGUCCUGAUUUGAAAGACGGGGAUGUUAGGAGCUCAUAUGCCCUGAAAAUUCGGGUUUUGGCUUAUGGCUCUUCUGCAUAAGAAGAUUAAUUCAGAGGAAAUGCAGAUGUGACUCUAGAGUGGACUGGCCACUCAUCACUAAGUCUAUAUGUAUGAGGAACCUAUUAAGGGCUUGAUUAUGUGCCAAAAGUGGUUUGCAAUAAGCUAGAGCAUACAGUGCUCAUAGGGCUGGGCAUGAAGAGAGGUGGCUCUGCCUUUGGCACUGACUUAAGGUGAUGAGCAACUGCCCUGAGUGAGCACAGGAAGGUAGCUUGAUUCUCACUUACUGCACAAGCACAGCUCUUCUGCUGCCAGCCUGCUCCCCCUCUGGGUGGGUGUCUGGGAAAGAUGGGGGAUGGGAAGGCUUUCCUCGACAAGGCUCCCUACCACGGGGAAGUUCCCUAAAAAGGCCUUGUCAGUGGGAAGGAAAUAAGCUUUGAAAACACUUCUGAAGAGUGAUUUGUCUGACCUAGUUUAGACUCCUGCUUUAGGAUGAUCUGAAUUACACCCUGAAAGUUCUUCAUUGUCACCAAAGGAAGACCAGGGUGAAGCUCUCAGAUGCAUGGUUGACCAGAGGAGUCACAUCUCCCAAGGGAAUGGGGAGCAGCCCUGUGGGUUAGCAGGUGCCCACAAGGUCAUGUCACACUAUUUCUUCAUCUUGGAGAUGAGCCCCCAGCAACUCCUGGGGCCAGGGCAGAGGCUCUAAGUCCCAUAGACAUAAUUCAAAAUCCCAUUGCACUGCUCCUCAGUGCCUUGGCAUGGUGUUGCCAGGAGUGAUGUAUGUUACAGAGAUCCCAUCCUCAAAUUUGAUGUCCACUGCUUUCUACUGCUCCACUUCUUACCUAACUUCUUUUAUGAUUUUAUAUAUUGCCUUCUUUUUCUCUGCAUGCAUUUUCUGAAACUGAAUCUGAUUUUUGUUACUUAAUCCUUUGGUCUACUUCUGUGUCAGCUGGUGCUUGCAACUCUUCCCAGUUAUGUAUCUUCUCUGAAUGUCAUUACCAUAUAAUUAUUUUCCUUUUCUAACCUGUAAAACCAGGUUCUAACACUGAUACCUUCUUGACCCCAAAAGGCACUUCUCUUAAACUACAUACAGAUGAAGGUAGCUAGCCAGAUUUUCUUUGAAAUGCUGUUUGCUUUUCUUAAAAUAAAUGGUGUGCUGGGAACUGCAAUGAUAUCAUAGCAACUGAAUAUGAUUAUGUGGGAGUCUGUAUUGAGGGGUAUUCCAGAAAGUAUAUCUAUAUACGUAUGUGUUUAUUUGUAUAAAAGUGCACGUGUGCAUGAAUAUUUGUGUUAAUAAUGUAUUUAGAUGCAAUUAAAGAGCAAAGACCUUAAAAAUAACCUAAGACAAUUUUUUUUUGUCUCUUUUACAGGCAGUUUUACAAUAAAAAUAAAUUAGAAGUAACUCCA